AGAACCUGAAACCGUAUGUCUACAAGCAGUCGGAGCGCAAGCGACGGCGUGCCUAUUGAAGAAUGAGCCAACGAGUUACGGGCACCAGCGAGGUUAAGCAGGAAAUGCGGAGCCGUAGGGAAACCGAGUCUGAAAAGGGCGGAUAGUUGGUGUUCGUAGACCCGAAACUGUAGUGAUCUACCCAUGAUCAGGUUGAAGCACGGGUAAAAUCGUGUGGAGGACCGAACCGGUGAGUGUUGAAAAACUUUCGGAUGAAUCGUGGGUAGCGGUGAAAUUCCAAUCGAACGCAGAGAUAGCUGGUUCUCCUCGAAAUAGCUUUAGGGCUAGCCUCAGGCAGUAAGCAUAGGCGGUAGAGCACUGAUCGGGAUAGGGACUGUAAUGGUUACCGAACCCUGUCAAACUACGAAUGGUUAUGCUGCAGAGCCUGGGAGUCAGACUACGAGAGAUAAGUCCCGUUGUCAAAAGGGAAACAGCCCAGACCAUCAGCUAAGGUCCCCAAUGCCAUACUAAGUGGAAAAGGAUGUGGGGUCUCAUAAACAACCAGGAUGUUGGCUCAGAAGCAGCCACCAUUUAAAGAGUGCGUAAUAGCUCACUGGUCGAGAGGCCCUGCGCCGAAGAUUCCCGGGGCUAAAGUAUGGAACCGAAGCUAUGGAUGCAUACGUAAGUAUGCGUGGUAGAGGAGCGUUCCCAUCGGGUUGAAGUCGUCCUGUAAGGGAUGGUGGACUGGUGGGAAGUGAGAAUGUUGGCAUGAGUAGCGAAAAGAAUGGUGAGAAUCCAUUCCACCGAAAGCAUAAGGAUUCCUGAGCAACGAUCGUCGUCUCAGGGUAAGUCGGGACCUAAUCCGAGGCAAAGAGCGUAGGAGAUGGACAACUGGUUGAUAUUCCAGUACCGGCAGUGAUCGUUUGAACGAAGGAGUGACGCAGGAAGGCAGGUCCGCACGAGAUUGGUAGAUCGUGUGCAAGCGUGUAGGCUGGUUACCAGGCAAAUCCGGUAACUGAGGCUGAGGCGUGAUGCGGAGGGAACUUGUUCCCGAAGGGAUUGAGCCUACGCUGCCGAGAAAAGCUUCUAGUGAGAAAGCUGCCGCCCGUACCGUAAACCGACACAGGUAUGCGGGGAGAGAAUCCUAAGGUGCGCGGGAGAACCCUCGUUAAGGAACUCGGCAAAAUGUACCCGUAACUUCGGGAUAAGGGUAGCCACAAAGGUGAAGGGACUUGCUCCCGGAGCCCGGUGUGGUCGCAGAGAAGAGGCCCAAGCGACUGUUAACCAGAAACACAGGUGCCUGCGAAAGAGAAAUCUGAAGUAUAGGUGCUGACACCUGCCCAGUGCUGGAAGGUUAAAGAAGGAUGUCCGGGUUCGACCCAAAGCAUUCGACUGAAGCCCCAGUGAACGGCGGCCGUAACUAUAACGGUCCUAAGGUAGCGAAAUUCCUUGUCGGGUAAGUUCCGACCCGCACGAAAGGUGUAACGACUUGGGCACUGUCUCAACGAGGGACCCGGUGAAAUUGAAAUACCUGUGAAGAUGCAGGUUACCCGCGACUGGACAGAAAGACCCCAUGGAGCUUUACUGUAACCUAAUAUUGGGUUCUGAUACUUGAUGCACAGGAUAGGUGGGAGGCACGGAUGGCAGUCCUCUGGGAUUGCCGGAGCCACUGUUGGGAUACCACCCUUCAAUUAUCGGGAUUCUAACCGAGCGAGUAACGAUCGCCGGGACAGUGUUAGGCGGGCAGUUUGACUGGGGCGGUCGCCUCCCAAAGAGUAACGGAGGCGCCCAAAGGUUCCCUCAGCGCGGACGGAAACCGCGCGCGGAGUGUAAAGGCAGAAGGGAGCUUGACUGCGAGCCAAACACGGCGAGCAGGUACGAAAGUAGGGCUUAGUGAUCCGGUGGCAUCCAAGUGGAAGGGCCAUCGCUCAACGGAUAAAAGCUACCCUGGGGAUAACAGGCUAAUCUCUCCCAAGAGUCCAUAUCGACGGGGAGGUUUGGCACCUCGAUGUCGGCUCA
rnacentral:rRNA from 1 species